rnacentral:rRNA from 1 species
AGAAUCUUUCGCAAUGCCCGAAAGGGUGACGAAGCGACGCCGCGUGUGGGAAGAAGGCCUUCGGGUUGUAAACCACUGUCGGGAGUUAAGAAAUGCAAGGGUGUUAAUAGCGCCCUUGCUUGACUAAGGCUCCGGAGGAAGCUACGGCUAACUCUGUGCCAGCAGCCGCGGUAAUACAGAGGUGGCAAGCGUUGUUCGGAAUUAUUGGGCGUAAAGAGCACGUAGGCGGCCUUGAAAGUCAGUUGUGAAAUCCUUCCGCUUAACGGAAGAACUGCAUCUGAUACUCCAGGGCUCGAGUGCGGGAGGGGAGAGUGGAACUUCUGGUGGAGCGGUGAAAUGCGUAGAUAUCAGAAGGAACGCCGGCGGCGAAAGCGGCUCUCUGGUCCGUAACUGACGCUGAGUGUGCGAAAGCUAGGGGAUCAAACGGGAUUAGAUACCCCGGUAGUCCUAGCCGUAAACGAUGGGCACUAAGUAGAGGGGUUUUGAUUAUCUCUCUGCCGGAGCUAACGCAUUAAGUGCCCCGCCUGGGAAGUACGGCCGCAAGGCUAAAACUCAAAAGGAUUGACGGGGGCUCGCACAAGCGGUGGAGCAUGUGGCUUAAUUCGAUGCAACGCGAAGAACCUUACCGGGGUUUGACAUGGUAGAAGUAGGAACCCGAAAGGGUAACGAACGGUAUCCAGUCCGUAACUAUCACAGGUGUUGCAUGGCUG